rnacentral:rRNA from 1 species
GACGAACGCUGGCGGCGUGCCUAAUACAUGCAAGUCGAACGCACAGUUUAUACCGUAGCUUGCUACACCAUAGACUGUGAGUUGCGAACGGGUGAGUAACGCGUAGGUAACCUGCCUGGUAGCGGGGGAUAACUAUUGGAAACGAUAGCUAAUACCGCAUAAUAUUAAUUAUUGCAUGAUAAUUAAUUGAAAGGUGCAAUUGCACCACUACCAGAUGGACCUGCGUUGUAUUAGCUAGUAGGUGAGGUAACGGCUCACCUAGGCGACGAUACAUAGCCGACCUGGGAGGGUGGUCGGCCACCCUGGGACUGAGACACGGCCCAGACUCCUACGGGAGGCAGCAGUAGGGAAUCUUCGGCAAUGGACGAAAGUCUGACCGAGCAACGCCGCGUGAGGGAAGAAGGUUUUCGGAUCGUAAAGCUCUGUUGUAAGAGAAGAACGGGUGUGAGAGUGGAAAGUUCACACUGUGACGGUAUCUUACCAGAAAGGGACGGCUAACUACGUG